rnacentral:lncRNA from 1 species
AUGAAUAUAGCCCAUCAUUUCAUCUUUCAUUCUACAUUUGUGUUAUUUUAUUUUUGGUGUAUAUCUCUUCUUUGGUGGGUGGUUAAUUUUUUUAUGUCAUCUUUUAGAGGAGAGGGUUAAAAGUGAAAAAUCCCAAACCAGACAUGAUGGAAGCAAAUGCAAUAAUACAACAAACGACCAAAAAAGAAAAAAACAAAUAAUGAAAGAUGAGAAAGAGGGACGGUGGUAGUGGGAUGUGGGGAACCCAUCAAGCUUUAUCUAUCUCUAUAUAUCUAUCUUUGUUGGCGGUGGGUGACAAUUAAGUCCCAAUAUUUUCUUUUUGAUGCAUCAAUUUUUACUCUUCUUUUGAAAGUGCGUGUGUGAGAGGGAAUUCAAUUAGAUACAUAGAGUGGUGAUAUUGUAGGGGUGACUAUGACUAUUCUACUUAUCUAUAUCCCAUUCCCAUGCAUAUAUACACAUUGAAGUGCAUACAUUUGGUCAACAGGCUCCCAUGGUGAUUAUGGUUUGUAUAAGAUUAUUUUCCCAUCAUUUUUUUUCCCACUUUAUUAAUGUGGGGGGACCCUAAAGUUUGGUCGCUGCUGGGAUUGGGAGAAUUUUGGAUUUAAUGCAUCAUCUUGACUUGUCUGUCACCUAUUUAAAUCAACUUUCAUUGAUUUCUUCACUGCCAUAACUUUCAUUUAUUAUCACAUUUUUAUUUCAUCAAUCCCAAUACAAUGAAUUGCAUGUGUCGUCUUGACCUUCUUUCCAUAUGUUUUUGACACAGUAACUUCAUGGACAUGUUUUAACGUUUAACCUUGAUGGGGAAUUAUAAGGCCUGGUAUGGCACCGACAAACUUGGGGCUGUUUGGAAAGCAAGAAAAGAAAAAGGACAUUAUCCAUGCUUUUAUUACGUGAAUUCAGCUUCUAAAAGGCAUAGCAAAACACGAAAAAAGGGAAUGAAAAUUAAAAACAAGUGGGAAGCAUUUGUAUAUGUAGAGUCGUCAUCUUCAUUAUGAAAUUCAUCAUAAUUAUAGCCUUUAUUUGAUUCCUUAUCUCAAUCCACUACCCUUAUGAUCAAUUCUCACACUUAAAAAAAAAAUUGAUUCUUGGCUUUAAUAGGUAUUCGAGGAAUUGUUU